CCUUCGGUGGUCUAGUGGUUAGGAUUCAACGUGCGUCGUGCCCGUUAAGAACGGGGGUUCGAAUCCCUCCCAAAGGG